rnacentral:lncRNA from 1 species
UGUACUUACGAUCUUGUAUCCACUGACUGUCUUGUUAGAUUAACCCAAUAAAUUUCAUUCACUCCGCAUACUCAAUCCUAUAGACACCCCUUUAAUCCUUCAAUCACAAACGUAACUCGAUUUUACAAAAUAGUCAAGAGUAUUCAAACCCACUUCAUUUAAAAAUCCCGAUUCACCAUUACAAUACUGACUUCAGCAGCGAUUGCCUCAGUCUUCCCAAAACUCUACGAAGAA